UUGCGGUCUAUAAAUAAUAAUCACCUAAAGUUCACAUAACUCCGAUUCCAAGUCUUGCAAAGUAGACAUACAAAGACAUACUAGCGAACUACAUAGUGAUGGCUAGGAUGUCAAGUACCUCGAAGCUCCUUGUGGUGAUGAUUUUCUCUUUCAUGGCGCUUUCCAUAAUCUCCCAUGCUCGAACUUUUUCUCCUGGUCGGAAAUUAACUGGUUAUCCGAUUCCGACGUACGGAGGUCCCCCGUACUCUCCUGUUCCUACGAGAUGUUUCAACCCACCUUAUUGUCGUCCAUGAGAGUUUCAGUUUGGUCACAUGAAUUAUUAUCUGAUAAAAUAAGGUUGGAUGUAUAUGGGUAUCUUCAUAUAUUUUUCAUCAUUGCUGGAGAAUAAGAUGCUUGUGUGAGACGAUGAAAAAAAAAAGAUGUUUGUGUGAGAUCCAUGUAAUAAAUAUAGCAGGUUGCUGUUUGCAAUGAAAUAAAUGAUAUUUAUGUAUC